GCUUAGAGUUUGAUCCUGGCUCAGGAUGAACGCUGGCGGUAUGCUUAACACAUGCAAGUCGAACGGAGUACUUCGGUACUUAGUGGCGGACGGGUGAGUAACGCGUGAGAAUCUGCCUUCAGGAUGGGGAUAACAGUGGGAAACCAUUGCUAAUACCCAAUGAGCCGAGAGGUAAAAAAUUUAUUGCCUGAAGAGGAGCUCGCGUCCGAUUAGUUAGUUGGUGGGGUAAAGGCUUACCAAGACGGCGAUCGGUAGCUGGUCUGAGAGGAUGAGCAGCCACACUGGGACUGAGACACGGCCCAGACUCCUACGGGAGGCAGCAGUGGGGAAUUUUCCGCAAUGGGCGCAAGCCUGACGGAGCAAUACCGCGUGAGGGAGGAAGGCCUUUGGGUUGUAAACCUCUUUUCUUAAGGAAGAAGAUCUGACGGUACUUAAGGAAUCAGCAUCGGCUAACUCCGUGCCAGCAGCCGCGGUAAUACGGAGGAUGCAAGCGUUAUCCGGAAUUAUUGGGCGUAAAGCGUCCGCAGGCGGCACUAUGAGUCUGCUGUCAAAGACCGCAGCUCAACUGCGGAAAGGCAGUGGAAACUGUAGAGCUAGAGUACGGUAGGGGUAGAGGGAAUUCCCAGUGUGGCGGUGAAAUGCGUAGAGAUUGGGAAGAACACCAGUGGCGAAAGCGCUCUACUGGGCCGUAACUGACGCUCAGGGACGAAAGCUAGGGGAGCGAAAGGGAUUAGAUACCCCUGUAGUCCUAGCUGUAAACGAUGGAUACUAGGCGUAGCUUGUAUCGACCCGAGCUGUGCCGAAGCUAACGCGUUAAGUACCCCGCCUGGGGAGUACGCACGCAAGUGUGAAACUCAAAGGAAUUGACGGGGGCCCGCACAAGCGGUGGAGUAUGUGGUUUAAUUCGAUGCAACGCGAAGAACCUUACC
rnacentral:rRNA from 1 species